CAGUCGCCGCGGGAAUACAGAGGGUGCGAGCGUUAAUCGGAUUUACUGGGCGUAAAGCGUGCGUAGGCGGCUUCUUAAGUCGGAUGCGAAAUCCCUGAGCUUAACUUAGGAAUUGCAUUCGAUACUGGGAAGCUAGAGUAUGGGAGAGGAUGGUAGAAUUCCAGGUGUAGCGGUGAAAUGCGUAGAGAUCUGGAGGAAUACCGAUGGCGAAGGCAGCCAUCUGGCCUAAUACUGACGCUGAGGUACGAAAGCAUGGGGAGCAAACAGGAUUAGAUACCCCUGUAGUCCCUGUCUCUUAUAC
rnacentral:rRNA from 1 species